UGAGUACGAGCGGCUACGGCCGCGAAGUGGAUGAUGUCAAGCUUCCAAGAAAAGCCCUAUACCCGUUAAGGCAUGAUGGCCUGUACCCGAAACCGACACAGGUGGGGUGGUAGAGAAUACCGAGGGGCGCGAGGUAACUCUCUCUAAGGAACUCGGCAAAAUGGCCCCGUAACUUCGGGAGAAGGGGUGCCACCGCUAGGUGGUCGCAGUGAAGAGGCCCAGGCGACUGUUUACCAAAAACACAGGUCUCCGCUAAGUCGCAAGACGAUGUAUGGGGGCUGACGCCUGCCCAGUGCCGGAAGGUUAAGGAAGCUGGUCAGCGCAAGCGAAGCUGGCGACUGAAGCCCCGGUGAACGGCGGCCGUAACGAUAACGGUCCUAAGGUAGCGAAAUUCCUUGUCGGGUAAGUUCCGACCCGCACGAAAGGCGUAACGAUCUGGGCGCUGUCUCGGAGAGAGGCUCGGCGAAAUAGAAUUGUCUGUGAAGAUGCGGACUACGUGCACCCGGACAGAAAGACCCUAUGAAGCUUUACUGUAGCUUGGUAUUGUGCUCGGGCUCGGAAUGCGCAGGAUAGGUGGGAGGUUUUGAUCCAUUGCUUGCGGGUGGUGGUGAGCCACUGGUGAGAUACCACUCUUUCCGAGCUAGAGUUCUAACAGCAACCCGUUAUCCGGGUGCUGGACAGUAUCAGGUGGGCAGUUUGACUGGGGCGGUCGCCUCCUAAAAGGUAACGGAGGCGCGCAAAGGUCUGCUCAGGCUGGUUGGAAAUCAGCCGACGAGUGUAAAAGCAGAAGCAGGCUUGACUGUGAGACCUACAAGUCGAACAGGGAGGAAACUCGGCUUUAGUGAUCCGACGGUUCUGCGUGGAAGGGCCGUCGUUCAACGGAUAAAAGUUACUCUAGGAUAACAGGCUGAUCUCCCCCAAGAGUUCACAUCGACGGGGAGGUUUGGCACCUCGAUGUCGGCUCAUCGCAACCUGGGGCUGAAGUCGGUCCCAAGGGUUGGGCUGUUCGCCCAUUAAAGCGGUACGCGAGCUGGGUUCAGAACGUCGUGAGACAGUUCGGUCCAUAUCCGGUGCACGCGCAGGAAUAUUGAGAGGAUUUCUCCCUAGUACGAGAGGACCGGGAGGAACGCACCUCUGGUGUGCCAGUUAUCGUGCCAACGGUAAACGCUGGGUAGCCAUGUGCGGAGUGGAUAACCGCUGAAAGCAUCUAAGUGGGAAGCCCACCUCAAGAUGAGUAUUCCCAUGGCAUAAGCCAGUAAGGUCACGGGAAGAACACCCGUUGAUAGGCUCUACGUGGAAGCGCAGUAAUGUGGGAAGCGGAGGAGUACUAAUAGACCGAGGGCUUGAU
rnacentral:rRNA from 1 species